CCCAUUACUAACUAACUAUUGGCGGUAACAAAAUAAUGGGUCGAGCGAAACUGAAAAGUCUUAAAUGUUUUAUUUUCUUUCUCUGUCGGUGUCUCUCAGUCAACUCUUCUUCCUCGAUGUUCAUCAUGAUUCAAGUUUGUUUGGAAGAUCCUUAUUCGAAAUCCAGACCGAAAGAGGAGAUUUUGUGUUUAUCAAAACAAUUCACUCUAUUCUAAGAGCCAAAUCGAUAUACUCGAAAUAAAGAUCGACCAUCACCUGAGGAUAUUUCAAUGGCUUUGGUUGAAAAUUAGUUUUUGUAGACAUGUGGAUGGUAAGGAGAUUCCCUUCAAACCUGCUCGGCUGAUUCUACAGGUAACCGCAGUUUAAGGGAUGAGCAAUCUCAUUGAGAAGUCAGCUUGUGUACGAUUGUAAUGUCAUCUUUCUGGGACUAUUUUCAGGGCUCAACUGGUGUCCCUGCAGUUGUGUAAAUAGUUUGCAUGAUAGUAGCCACGGAUAAUGUCAAUGUUGAUUCUACUGCGUUCAAUCCCUUGGUUAGUGAACUUCAAGCUAUUUAAAUUGGGGAUCUGUUUUGUUUCAUGUAUGUAAACACAUGAAGCUAAUGUUUAUUUUUUAGAAUGCUCCUCAGAUGAUAGUAAGGAGAUUACAAUCCGAGAUGUUACAAAAUCUUUUAUAACAUGUCAAUUUGGCAGUUUCAACAAGUUUUGAUGAUAUGUAUGUUCAACUCACGAACUCCAUGUC